UGGGGAAUAUUGCGCAAUGGGCGAAAGCCUGACGCAGCGACGCCGCGUGAGGGAAGAAGGCCUUCGGGUCGUAAACCUCUGUCUGGAGGAAAGAAACCCAUGGGUUCAAAUAGGGCUCAUGGCUGACGGUACCUCCGAAGGAAGCACCGGCUAACUCCGUGCCAGCAGCCACGGUAAUACGGAGGGUGCAAGCGUUAAUCGGAAUCACUGGGCGUAAAGCGCACGUAGGCUGUCUUGCAAGUCAGACGUGAAAGCCCUCGGCUCAACCGGGGAACUGCGUUUGAAACUGCAUGACUUGAGUACAGGAGAGGAUGGCAGAAUUCCGGGUGUAGGGGUGAAAUCCGUAGAUAUCCGGAGGAAUACCAGUGGCGAAGGCGGCCAUCUGGACUGUCACUGACGCUGAGGUGCGAAAGCGUGGGGAGCAAACAG
rnacentral:rRNA from 1 species